rnacentral:rRNA from 1 species
AGUCGAGCGCGAACGCGGACUUCGGUCCGUUAGUAGAGCGGCGAACGGGUGAGUAACACGUGGAUAACCUACCUAGGAGCGGGGGACAACUUGGGGAAACUCGGGCUAAUACCGCAUACGAUCGCGCGAUCUUGAUUGCGUGAGGAAAGAUGGCUUUUCGGAGCUGUCACUCUUAGAGGGGUCCGCGUCUGAUUAGCUAGUUGGUUGGGGUAAUGGCCCACCAAGGCAACGAUCAGUAGCCGGCCUGAGAGGGCGAUCGGCCACACUGGAACUGAGACACGGUCCAGACUCCUACGGGAGGCAGCAGUGGGGAAUAUUGGACAAUGGGCGAAAGCCUGAUCCAGCAACGCCGCGUGGAGGAUGACGGUCUUCGGAUUGUAAACUCCUGUCAGAUGGGACGAAAAAGCUUCGGUUAAUACCCGGAGUUUAUGACUUUACCAUCAGAGGAAGCCCCGGCUAACUCCGUGCCAGCAGCCGCGGUAAUACGGAGGGGGCAAGCGUUAUUCGGAAUCAUUGGGCGUAAAGGGCGCGUAGGCGGUCUGAUCAGUCAGGGGUGAAAUCCCUCGGCCUAACCGAGGAACUGCCUUUGAUACUGUCAGACUUGAGGCCGGGAGAGGGUGGUGGAAUUCCCAGUGUAGCGGUGAAAUGCGUAGAUAUUGGGGGGAACACCAGUGGCGAAGGCGGCCACCUGGACCGGUACUGACGCUGAGGCGCGAAAGCGUGGGUAGCAAACAGGAUUAGAUACCCUGGUAGUCCACGCUGUAAACGAUGAGCACUCGGUGCUGCGGGUGUCGACCCCUGCAGUGCCUUAGGAAACCCGUUAAGUGCUCCGCCUGGGGAGUACGGUCGCAAGGCUGAAACUCAAAGGAAUUGACGGGGGCCCGCACAAGCGGUGGAGCAUGUGGUUUAAUUCGAUGCAACGCGCA